rnacentral:rRNA from 1 species
AGUGAACGCUGGCGGUAGGCCUAACACAUGCAAGUCGAACGGCAGCACAGUAAGAGCUUGCUCUUACGGGUGGCGAGUGGCGGACGGGUGAGGAAUACAUCGGAAUCUACUUUUUCGUGGGGGAUAACGUAGGGAAACUUACGCUAAUACCGCAUACGACCUACGGGUGAAAGCAGGGGAUCUUCGGACCUUGCGCGAUUGAAUGAGCCGAUGUCGGAUAGCUAGUUGGCGGGGUAAAGGCCCACCAAGGCGACGAUCCGUAGCUGGUCUGAGAGGAUGAUCAGCCACACUGGAACUGAGACACGGUCCAGACUCCUACGGGAGGCAGCAGUGGGGAAUAUUGGACAAUGGGCGCAAGCCUGAUCCAGCCAUACCGCGUGGGUGAAGAAGGCCUUCGGGUUGUAAAGCCCUUUUGUUGGGAAAGAAAAGCAGCAGGUUAAUACCCCGCUGUUCCGACGGUACCCAAAGAAUAAGCACCGGCCAACUUCGUG